GACCAAGAAUUGUACCUAGGACUUCCACGUAGCCUCAGCCUACUGAGUAGCGGAGUUAACUGGACCUGGCUUCUUUUCCCAAACAUUAUGUUUGUGAAAUUCAAUCAGGACUGCACAGGUUCGUGCAAUGCAGGCAACGUUAUCUUCAUACUGAGUGGAUUCUGAGAAUGCUGUCUGUAAGAUGUCUUCUCUAGAAUUCCCACUGCCUGUUGUCUGUGAAGACCCUCUGCCUAUGAACAAAAGAAUGUAACGGACCUCUAAGGAUUUCAGUAGGAAAAGGCUCCCACCAUCCAACAUCUUCAGCUUCAGAUGGAUGCUGGUUUCUUCCUGCCUCUCUGGAGUUUUGUCACUGAACAAUUUCCUGUCCAUUGAUCCUCAUGAGAUUAUGCUGAAAUUUCAUUCCCAGUGCCAUCAGGAGUGAAAGUAACCAAAUUGAACUCUAGAGAAUGUGCUCUAAUACAUAAGAACACAGCUAAGUAAUUGCUAUGUUGAUCAGAGGAGGAAAUCGUUCACUGUAAAAUGCUGUGGGACAACUCAUUUCCGAGCAACAUUAUAAUGGGAAUUACCUAAACAGAUUCUGGAUUUUUAAAAAGGGUCUCAUGUAUUCAUCAGAGUAAGGAAAACAUUUUAGUUCACUUAACUAAAAGGUCAGAACUUUUGAUGUCCCAAUUACAAAGGAAAUGCGUUAUGCACAUGCUCAUCAGCACUUAAUGGAUGACUUCAGUUAUAACGAAGUUCAGUUGUGUUAAAACUCCUGCUCAAUGAUCCCUCGUGAAAGCCCUUCUUGCUACUCACUCUAUAAUCGGACGUUACAUUUAUCCACUGAAAAGAUUUGAAAGGUUUCUUAAAAGGAAAGGCCAUUAGUUCAAAU